rnacentral:rRNA from 1 species
AGAGUUUGAUCCUGGCUCAGGACGAACGCUGGCGGCGUGCCUAAUACAUGCAAGUCGAACGAGAAGCUGACUUCGGUCAGUGGAAAGUGGCGGACGGGUGAGUAAUAUGUAGGAAAUCUGCCUUAGAGAGGGGGACAACAGAGGGAAACUUCUGCUAAUACCCCAUAUGAGCUACCUUGAAAUAGGUAUCUUGAAAACUCCGGUGCUCUAAGAUGAGCCUGCAUCUGAUUAGCUUGUUGGUGGUGUAAUGGACCACCAAGGCGACGAUCAGUAGCUGGUUUGAGAGGAUGAUCAGCCACAAUGGGACUGAGACACGGCCCAUACUCCUACGGGAGGCAGCAGUAGGGAAUUUUGCGCAAUGGGGGAAACCCUGACGCAGCAACGCCGCGUGAACGUUAAGCCCUUCGGGGUGUAAAGUUCUGUCAGUGGGGACGAAAUUUGACGGUACCCACAGAGGAAGCACCGGCUAACUCCGUGCCAGCAGCCGCGGUAAUACGGAGGGUGCAAGCGUUGUCCGGAAUCAUUGGGCGUAAAGAGUUCGUAGGUGGUAUGUUAAGUCUGGUGUUAAAGCCCGAAGCUCAACUUCGGUUCGGCACUGGAUACUGGCAAACUUGAAUGUGGUAGAGGUAAAGGGAAUUCCUGGUGUAGCGGUGAAAUGCGUAGAUAUCAGGAGGAACAUCGGUGGCGAAAGCGCUUUACU